GCGUCGCAACCUACCCUAUAAAUACCUCUGAACAGCCAAUGGUAUUCUCUCAUCAGAGGAUAUGGCCAUGUUGCUACUUCUGGCCAACCAAUAAUAUCGCAGGUAUUGGAGUAAUCCGAGUCUAGGAUAGUCUAACGUCUGGCUCGCAAGAAUAUAAAGCCUACCAUUGUUGUGGUUUCUUACAAAGCGCGCCUUUUUGCGUGAGGUAAGGGCAGAAACGGUUUGACGGCGCCUUGACAAGCAGAGAGCCCGGGACAGCUCGUUAGCCAUGGCUUCUCUUCUAAGAAGUGUGCUGUUAGUGUCGUUUCUAUCUUUAUGGACUCUGGCCCAAGGCCAAGAUGUUCCGGGGACUUGUCCGGUAUUUCCAACACCCCAGGAAUGUCCCCCUGAGCCGGACAACGACUGUGAGAACGACGCGCAGUGUACACUUGCCCACCCUGGACUCGGCCUCAAGUGCUGCAAGGAGGGGUGCGACCUCCGCUGCGUGCCUCCGAUUCCUCCACCGACCCCUCCUCCACAAAGGGUAUUUCAGCUCUUUUACACAAGCAACGGAAAACUAAUCCACUAACCAGCUAACAGUACCACUCACUAAAAGCUCGUAUGCAUGCCUCUGGAUCGGCAACAUGAAGGCUUUUCUUAUCGAUUUUAGCAAGCUCUCGCGCUAAAAUCGAUGAAAUAUUAAGACAUUGAGGGUUUUGUUUAAGCACACGUCAUUCCCAUGGCUUUCUGAAGAUUUAAAAAGCAAGUCUGAUUUUUCUUGAUAAAAUAAACUUGAAGUUAUGGCGAAGAGACUAUUUAAUUCACGGAAUGCCUGGAUCGGAAGCAAAGGAAUGCGCUCGGAGCGGAUGAUAGAGGAAAGAAUAAGGUAAGUGUUGUCGAUUUUAAAACUCCUGUUUCGUUUUUUUUUUCUGGGCUUUGUUUUUGUUUUAUCUUCAUUUUUUUUUAGAGUAGAAUGCGCUUGUCAAGGUCGAUACACUCCAAACAUCAAGCAACUUGCGCCAGGACUUCUCAAGUAUACUUAAGUGCUUCCCAUUAGUCACUCUGACUCCAAGACAGAGAUGAUUGUAGUAGCGACAAAAGGGAUGUUUUGUAUGUUAUUGAGCAACUCGUCCUCGCUUCAUAUCAGGAGCAACUUAGUGCGGCAACAAACAGUCCAAGACACUGAAUCACAGCAAAGAGCGAUAAUAUGAAACGGAAAAGUCAUAUCAAUUAAGAGUGUAAAAAAAAUGUAUCAUCAAACGAGACAGGGAUAAAACAUUUGUACAAUUCUACAAGUCUUGUUCAUUUCCUAGAAACAUUAUUUUUUUGAUGGUCCGUUGUUAUACAGUAAUUGAUGGUUUUAUUGUCACUAAUAUCCCAACCAGUGUUAUAUUGUUGCAUUUACAGUAAAACUCACAUAGGAAUACCUAUUUUUAUUUGUUCAAUGUCUAAUCACGACUCUGAUCCCUCUUGUCUGAAAGUUUACUGUAGUAAAAAAGUCAUUGGAAAUUAAAAUGUGAAUUUGGA